ACCAUACGACUCUCGGCAACGGAUAUCUCGGCUCUCGCAUCGAUGAAGAACGUAGCGAAAUGCGAUACUUGGUGUGAAUUGCAGAAUCCCGUGAACCAUCGAGUCUUUGAACGCAAGUUGCGCCCGAAGCCUUCCGGCCGAGGGCACGCCUGCCUGGGCGUCACGC
rnacentral:rRNA from 1 species